CGCCCCUAAGACAACACGCCUUAAUGUGAUUAAACGCGUAACUAAAAUCAAUCAUCAUCCCUAGACCGAGAUUCAACACAAGGCUCGUGUUGAAUCUAAACAAAGGUUCAUAAUCAUCCUAAGGCCCUAAGGCAACUAUAUAGUCCAUCAAAUGAAUGCAAAUGUUAUGUUAGUAGUAUCAUAUACUCUUGCUUUAAAAACCGUUUUAUAAGCAUAGUGGGAGUAUUAUAUACAACUAAAAACAAUCAAAUGGACCAAUAGUUGUAAUAGGACCAAAAUUGUUUUAAUAAAUAUUAAAAUGUAUGUUUAUAUAUGAUGAGACCUAAAACCAUCAACCAAACCAUUAUUAAGUUGAUAAGCGUGAGAGUGCUUUGAACACUCUUUCGUGGCCUUCCACCAUGGUAGGCUCCAAUCGUUUAUGACUUGUACACCGCCUUCACCCUAUCAUGGGGGAGUGCAAAGUGCAUG
rnacentral:lncRNA from 1 species